UACGUGGGGUGCGAGCGUUAAUCGGAAUUACUGGGCGUAAAGCGUGCGCAGGCGGUGAUGUAAGACAGGUGUGAAAUCCCCGGGCUUAACCUGGGAACUGCAUUUGUGACUGCAUCGCUGGAGUGCGGCAGAGGGGGAUGGAAUUCCGCGUGUAGCAGUGAAAUGCGUAGAUAUGCGGAGGAACACCGAUGGCGAAGGCAAUCCCCUGGGCCUGCACUGACGCUCAUGCACGAAAGCGUGGGGAGCAAACAGG
rnacentral:rRNA from 1 species